rnacentral:rRNA from 1 species
AGCGGCGGACGGGUGAGUAACACGUGGGCAACCUGCCUGUAAGACUGGGAUAACAUCGGGAAACCGAUGCUAAUACCGGAUAAUCCUUUUCCUCUCAUGAGGAAAAGCUGAAAGUCGGUCUCGGCUGACACUUACAGAUGGGCCCGCGGCGCAUUAGCUAGUUGGUGAGGUAACGGCUCACCAAGGCGACGAUGCGUAGCCGACCUGAGAGGGUGAUCGGCCACACUGGGACUGAGACACGGCCCAGACUCCUACGGGAGGCAGCAGUAGGGAAUCUUCCACAAUGGACGAAAGUCUGAUGGAGCAACGCCGCGUGAGCGAUGAAGGCCUUCGGGUCGUAAAGCUCUGUUGUUAGGGAAGAACAAGUAUCGGAGUAACUGCCGGUACCUUGACGGUACCUAACCAGAAAGCCACGGCUAACUACGUGCCAGCAGCCGCGGUAAUACGUAGGUGGCAAGCGUUGUCCGGAAUUAUUGGGCGUAAAGCGCGCGCAGGCGGUCCUUUAAGUCUGAUGUGAAAGCCCACGGCUCAACCGUGGAGGGUCAUUGGAAACUGGGGGACUUGAGUGCAGAAGAGGAAAGCGGAAUUCCACGUGUAGCGGUGAAAUGCGUAGAGAUGUGGAGGAACACCAGUGGCGAAGGCGGCUUUCUGGUCUGUAACUGACGCUGAGGCGCGAAAGCGUGGGGAGCAAACA